GGUAUGAAGUCUACCUGCAAAAUGAUAUAUUUCUAUCUUUCAUGGUUUGGUCUGGGAGUUUUAUGUCAGUCAGUAAGUGAAUCAUUGAGGGCUUGGCUCUUACAAGCAUCUUAAUGAUUUCUCUCUCUGUGACUUUAGUUUUUUCUUAGUUCUAUGGGGUUUCAUUUUCCGUGCUUUCCAGUAGGAGAUUUUUUUCCCUGGAUUUUCUGGGAUAAUGAAUUUUUCCAGGUUUUUGUAUAUUUUUGGUGGUCUGGGCAAGGUCUGGAACUUGUUGCAGAAUGUGAGCUGUCUCUGUGUGGUUUUCAGAACAAACACCAGCACAAGCUUUAAGACUUGACUUUACUUGUGAGACAAACACUUCGAGAGUAGUUUUGAAGACAGCAAGUCCCCCUGCAGCUUUGGAAUAAAGCUUCAAUUAAUUUCUGCAGAACUGAACAGAGGAAGAUUUGUGGCAAAGUGAUAUAGGAAGCAAGAUAUUCUGAAUGUCAUCCAAAGAAAGCAGAAUAGACCAUGUUGCUGGUGAUAGCACAGUUCAAGUGUACAAAGCUUUUCAUACAUAUUAUUUCAGGAAUCUUUAGGACACUCUGUAAGUAAGGUGUUGGAAAGGCAGAAUAUACAAUUGGGGACAGGGGAGAGAUACUGUGCCAAAGCAGCAGCCAAAUGGGGGCAAACAGGCUGUGGAAAGCAGUGAAAAGAGGAGCUUGGGAAGGCUUCAGGAUCCAAAAAAGAUUCCAGGCCUGCUACUGAAAUAUUGAUCCACAAGCCAAAAGUACUUUGCCCAGGAGAUACAACACAACUGUUGGUUGCUGUAUACAUUUAGAGCCUUUGACUUCAUGAGCUGCCCAUUAUUAAAACAUAUUUAACUGAAAGAGCUGCA